rnacentral:sRNA from 1 species
GCGGAGGAAAAGAAACCAACAGGGAUUGCCUCAGUAACGGCGAGUGAAGCGGCAACAGCUCAAAUUUGAAAUCUGGUCACCUUACGGAGGCCCGAGUUGUAAUUUGAAGAGGAUGCUUUUGGCGAGGUGCCUUCCGAGUGCCCUGGAACGGGACGCCACAGAGGGUGAGAGCCCCGUAUGGUUGGACACCGAGCCUAUGUAAAGCUCCUUCGACGAGUCGAGUAGUUUGGGAAUGCUGCUCAAAAUGGGAGGUAAACCCCUUCUAAAGCUAAAUAUUGGCCAGAGACCGAUAGCGCACAAGUAGAGUGAUCGAAAGAUGAAAAGCACUUUGAAAAGAGAGUUAAACAGCACGUGAAAUUGUUGAAAGGGAAGCGCUUGCGACCAGACUUGCGCCCGUCGGAUCAACCGUCGCUUGUCGGCGGCUCACUCCGGCGGGCUCAGGCCAGCAUCAGUUUUCCCGGGGGGAGAAAGGCGGUGGGAAUGUAGCUCCUAGGAGUGUUAUAGCCCGCCGCGUAAUACCCUCGGGGGGACUGAGGACCGCGCAU